rnacentral:pre_miRNA from 1 species
AUUCAGAUCGCCUGAGGGUCUUGUUAAAAUAUAGGCUUUGAUUUAGUAGGUCUGGGGAUGGGCUUGAGAGCCUGUAUUUCUAACAAGCUCCGAGGUGAUAAUGAU